AGUGAGGAGUGAGCCAGAUUUGCUUGAAAUACUUCAUUUUAAUUGCAGACGGCUGCCUGCCGUCUCCCUGCCUGCUUGCUGGGAAGCGUUUCCAUCCCAGCCGUGCAACUUUAGGGCUGCCGGGAGGUGCUGGGGUGGGCAGGAAUAAGUCCUUGGUGCAGGUGUCUCCCCUGAGCAGUCCUCAAGGUUUCAGCCUUGGGCUCCCUGUGCUCUGCUGGGCAGGCUCCUCGGGCCACCCAGCCUCACUGCUUUGAUGCAUUUUUGCAAGUUUUUCAUGUUUUUCUCAAAAUCUUGGGGGCAGUUUGUGGGUCAUGGAUGGGUUUUCUAACCCAUGUUUUGUGGGGAGUGAGGUACCCUUGAAGAUGAGCUGAUGCUUGUGGACAAAACACCCAAGGCAGGCAACAAGGAUAAAACCAUGAUUUUGAACCUAUCUCCCUGCUUUUUUGGCUGCUUGGUGUUGACAGCGCUGAGACAGAGCAUGGAUUUCCCACCAGGACCUGCAAUUUUCCCAAAUCCCUCAGUCUCCAGAAGCCAUUAAACAAAAUCACUGCCUUCCCUGCGACCUCCCAUUGCAGUUCACGAUCUGAUGCUCUGCACUGCUGUAACACGCAGCCCCUGGGACACCUCCCACACCCGGGUGUCUGCUGAGCACCUCGCAAACCACCCAUGGGCUCGGCUACAUCUGGUCCCGCAGUGCUCCAGCCUUGCAGGUUCCCUGGCAGGAGGUGACUGACACAGGGGAAUUGUUCAUUUCAGAAAAGGAAGACACAGUUUUUGUCCGGCAGAAACCGUGGAUGUGCCCAGCCCUUCACACCACAAGGAUAAUUCAGUCCUGUGGGGAAACGCGGUGCCUGCCCCCGAGUUUGUUUCUGGGCUUGGCAAUGAAAGAGACCCAAUCCCCUCAACCCUAUAAAGGCUGUGAUCCAGGGCAUGUCUCCAAAUCUUGGACUCAUCUGAAGGCUGAUGGUGUCAACGGGAAGGCUCCUGCUGGCUCUGACAGCUCUUGGACCAGGCAGCAUUGACUACCUCUGACUUUGGUUCUUUUCCAUCGCAGAUUUCUCCCUUCCACGUGUGUGUAGGGCCAUUCCCAGCACAGACCCAACACAAAGCUUCUCCAGACAAAGAGUCUUCUCUAGAUAGCAUUGAAGGAAUUGGGAUUUAAGGUUCCUCGGGGUGUGAGACUGUGUGGUGCUUGGUUUUUCUUAGGCACCUCUCUUGCUGACAGGUGCUGAUGACUUGCAGCCCAGGCAGACAGGGCUGAAAAGGAUAGGAAGGUUGGAGUUUGUGUGAUGGAGCUGUGGGAUUCAUUGAUUUCUAAAUAAAGCUUUCAUCAAGACACA
rnacentral:lncRNA from 1 species